GGCUCACUGGCUUAGCUGCUUUGUGGCACGUGGCACCUUAGUUCCCCAACCAGGGAUCGAACCUGAGUCUCCCGCACAGCAGGCAGAUUCUUAACCACUAGACCACCAGAAGUCCCUCCUCCUACUGUUGCAGGUGGUGACAGUGAGAAGUGACUUCAGGCAGGAUUGCCCAGUGGGUGACCUGGCGUUGAAGGGGACAAGAGUACAUCAUGCAAAAUGGCGGGCUGGAAGAAACAAGAUGGAAUCCAGAUUGAUGGGAGAAAUAUCAAUAACCUCAUUUAUGCAGAGGACACCGCCCUUAUGGCAGAAAGUGAAGAAGA